rnacentral:rRNA from 1 species
UACGUAGGGUGCAAGCGUUAAUCGGAAUUACUGGGCGUAAAGCGUGCGCAGGCGGUUUUGUAAGACGGAUGUGAAAUGCCCGGGCUUAACCUGGGAACUGCAUUUGUGACUGCAUGGCUAGAGUUUGGCAGAGGGGGGUAGAAUUCCACGUGUAGCAGUGAAAUGCGUAGAUAUGUGGAGGAACACCGAUGGCGAAGGCAGCCCCCUGGGUCAAGACUGACGCUCAUGCACGAAAGCGUGGGGAGCAAACAGG